AGUGAACGCUGGCGGUAGGCCUAACACAUGCAAGUCGAACGGCAGCACAGAGGAGCUUGCUCCUUGGGUGGCGAGUGGCGGACGGGUGAGGAACACAUCGGAAUCUACUCUGUCGUGGGGGAUAACGUAGGGAAACUUACGCUAAUACCGCAUACGACCUACGGGUGAAAGCAGGGGACCUUCGGGCCUUGCGCGAUUGAAUGAGCCGAUGUCGGAUUAGCUAGUUGGCGAGGUAAAGGCCCACCAGGGCGACGAUGCGUAGCUGGUCUGAGAGGAGGAGCAGCAACACUGGAACUGAGACACGGUCCAGACUCCUACGGGAGGCAGCAGUGGGGAAUAUUGGACAAUGGGCGCAAGCCUGAUCCAGCCAUACCGCGUGGGUGAAGAAGGCCUUCGGGUUGUAAAGCCCUUUUGUUGGGAAAGAAAUCCAGCUGGCUAAUACCCGGUUGGGAUGACGGUACCCAAAGAAUAAGCACCGGCUCACUUCGUGCCAGCCGCCGCCGUAA
rnacentral:rRNA from 1 species